rnacentral:misc_RNA from 1 species
UACAGAGGCCCCAAGCGUUACCCGGAAUUACUGGGCGUAAAGGAUGCGUAGGUGGCAGUGUUAGUCAGUCGUGAAAUCCUUCGGCUCAACCGAAGGAAUGCCGACUGAUACGGCACAGCUAGAGGGCGCGAGAGGUAUGCGGAACUCACGGUGUAGGGGUAAAAUCCGUUGAUAUCGUGGGGAACACCAUAGGCGAAGGCGGCAUACUGGAGCGUUCCUGACACUGAGGCAUGAAAGCGUAGGUAACGAACGGG